CAAAGAAUAGUUUAAUUAGAAUGUUAGCUUUGGGAGCUUUUGGCAGAGGUGAAAGUCCUCUUUCUUUGA
rnacentral:tRNA from 1 species